AYGCAUSUCCAAGUACAAGCCUCACUAAGGUGAAACCGCGAAUGGCUCAUUAAAUCACACCUAAUCUACUGGAUAAUUAACAGGUACUUGGAUACCUGCGGUAAUUCUGGAGCUAAUACAUGCGAAAAGCCUCGAACUUACGUGAGAGGCGCUUUUAUUAGAUCAAAACCAAUCGGCUUCGGCUGUACUCUUGGUGACUCUGAAUAACUUUGGGCUGAUCGUACGGCCUUGCGCCGACGACGUAUCCUUCGAAGGUGUGCCCUAUCAACUUUCGACUGUGGCAUAGACGCCCACAGUGGUUUUGACGGGUAACGGGGAAUCAGGGUUCGAUUCCGGAGAGGGAGCCUUAAAAACGGCUACCACA
rnacentral:rRNA from 1 species